GUCUACAGCCACACCACCCUGAACCCACCCAAUCUCCUCUGAUCUCAGAAGCUAAGCAGGGUUGGGCCUGGUUAGCACUUGGAUGGGAGAAGGUCUCUUUUAACUGGGUCCUUGUAUAUC
rnacentral:rRNA from 1 species